AUUUUCGGAUAAUCGCGUAGUAUUUGAAUACUAUGAGGAAAGUCCAUGCUAGCACUGGCUGUGAUGCCAGUAGUGUUUGUGCUAGGCGAAAAAUAAGCCUAGGGAUGUAAUGUUACAUUACGGCAGAUAAAAAAGCUAAGUCUUUAAGAUAUGCUUGAGUAAUCUUGAAAGUGCCACAGUGACGUAGUUUUUAUGGAAACGUAAAAAAUGGAACGCGGUAAACCCCUCAAGCUAGCAACCCAAACUUUGGUCGGGGCAUGGAAUAGAUUGGAAACGAACGAGCUAUUCUGACUGUUUAAUAUUCAGUAGACAGAUGAUUAUCGAAGGAAAUGAUACCUAGUUAUUUCCGGAACAAAACAUGGCUUAUAGAA
rnacentral:RNase_P_RNA from 1 species